UACGUAGGGGGCAAGCGUUGUCCGGAAUCAUUGGGCGUAAAGCGCGUGUAGGCGGCCCGAUAAGUCCGCUGUGAAAGUCCAGGGCUCAACCCUGGAAUGCCGGUGGAUACUGUCGGGCUCGAGUCCGGAAGAGGCGAGUGGAAUUCCUGGUGUAGCGGUGAAAUGCGCAGAUAUCAGGAGGAACACCGAUGGCGAAGGCAGCUCGCUGGGACGGUACUGACGCUGGAGACGCGAAAGCGUGGGGAGCAAACAGG
rnacentral:rRNA from 1 species